rnacentral:lncRNA from 1 species
AUGACUAGAGAAUAUCUCAAAGCCAAGCAAGGUCAUAAAGGGGACUGGAGAUUUCUCAGAAAUGGAAUGCGGUCUGCUGAAAACAUGUGUUACAUUGACUCAAAAAUUGCAGAUAGACAGCUUUUGAAGCAUGUCAUGUUGGAGUUGGGAAGCAGGAACAAACAGGGCCUGGCAGUGGGCUCCACGUGGAUAUCGAGCCGAGCCAUUGACCACAAGUCCAUGUUGACUGUCACCAAUCACCGCCUCAUUUUCCACAUGCCUCAGCACGGUUUCCCAGAGGUCUGCUCCAUGAUUUUGCCCAGCACAGCGGUGAGACCGAUCAUCCUGUCUUCCCGUCAGUGGGAACGUCACUGGAUUGCCCUAACUUCUGAAAUACAAUGGACAAUGGCUCAGCAACAUCAUCCACCAGUUCUCUCAGGACCUGUGGAUGCAUCUCAGUUCCCAUGAGCUUGUGCACCUUCAGGUUCUUUAGAUGGUCUCAAACCUCAUCUACUCUCACAGCAGGUGGUUCUUCGUUCUGCCAGUCCCUGCCUUUACCUCUGCAGUGUGGGCAGUGUGGCUGGAACUUGUGCCAGUGAAGAUCAAGGCAAAAACAUCACUGAGUACCCCAGUCUUCUCCGUGUCCUGGGUAGCCAGGUCCGCCAUCUCCUUCCUGAAAGGACCCACUUUUUGCCUGUUCUUCCUAUUAUCAAUGUACCUUUUCUUGUUGCCCCUGACAUCCCGGGCCAGAACUAAUUCUAUCGGGGCUUUAGCUUUCCUAACCUGAUACCUGGCUGUUAAGACAAUUUCUCUGUAUUCCUCUCAGUCUACCUGUCCUUGCUUCUACCCUCUGUAGAGGCUUCCUCUUAAAAGCUAAACAAGCAGUAAAAUACCUUCCCUUUCAAGUGUUUGAAGUACCAUACACUGAAUGACCUUUUCAUUUUCCAUUUACAAAGAAAUAAGAAAUAACUAUUCUUAUUUCUGAUACCUGUGAUUAUACCAAUAGCUAUAACUCAGGCCCAUGAAAUCCUUUAAUGUAAUGAGCCAUGCUGGAGAGUCAUUCCCCUAAAGAAAAGAGCUCAAGAUGAUUGACCUGAAAUGGCCUCUUCAUUUUUUAGUGAAAGGAGAUCUAAAUAUGGCAAACAUAUUUAGAUAUGUGCUACUGUCUCUCAACAGACAUCUUCCUCAUCAGAAUCUCUUACGAUUAACAAGAAUUGGUUAUUUAAUUUUAGGGGUAAACUAGCAAAAUGUCUGUAACAACUAUCUGGGUUUUGUCUUUAACUGUGCAGUGAUUUUUCUGUCAGAAAAACCUUUUUUUUUCCCUUUACUUAUUUCCAUUGUUUGCUCAAGAGAGAAGUAGCCAAUUCGGCAUCAAGAAGUCAGCGCUUAGAAAAGUGUUAUGGUGGAAGAGUGGGCACCCUUUGUUGGUUGUUUCAUGUUUGGUGUGUGCAGAGACCAUUUUUAUACUGUUUCCUGCCAGCAUCUUCCCCAUAAUCACUUUCAUUCUCACCUGCUGGAUCUAUUUGCUUGUAUCAUCUAACACAGCUCUUCUCUAAUUUCAGAAAUUCUUCCUGUUAUAAAUGUCUUAGGCUUUUACCUUUACCUUCACCUCAGAGCCCUCUCCAGCCAAGAACAGCAGUUUUACACCCAAAAUAUAUCCAUCUCACCAUGAACAUACCUGUGUGUGUUACCAAAGACACCAGGUGGUGGACUAAAGAAAAAACAUUGGAAAGGUAAAGAAAGCUAUAGUGAAACACCCCAAUUUUUUGAAAAGCAGGAAACACCCACCUUUCCAAGGGACAGACGAAGUUCUGCAGCAUUGGUUCCAAAUUUUCUUUUAAUACAGUUCUAACUAGAUAGAAUAGGCUUUGCAGUGUUUAUCCUCCUUCCUGCAGUCUACCAGAGUUAACAGUACUUCUGUAUUUUUGCUACCUGAUACUGUCUCACACACAUUUCAUUCUCCAAAUUUUCACCCAAGCAGCUUUAAAUUAACACUAGGUAGGUAAUAACAGUAGGUUGCUUACUCAGUGGUUUGCUUUUCUCUGGGGCUUACAGACCCCUCCUUGCAUGUCGCAAAAAUCGUCUGGCUCUGGCUUCUCGGAAUGGCUCUGCCUUCCCAGCACAAACACUGCCUGCCUGGUUCUUGCUCUGAAGCUGUUGAAGACACUAUUUCAUCUGCCAAUAAUAAAGAAGCAACUGACCUAAGUUACUCUUCUCUGUUCACCUUGCUGUGAUGGCAGAGUGCUGACUGUACCAUUAUUGCUCUAUAAAGUGAAGUCAGAUUUAUGAGGCAAAAUCUAUGAUGGUGUGAUUCCAGCUAGACGAAAAAAAGCCCAGUAUGAAAAUAGUUAUUCAUAUCUGUGAUAGCCUUUGUCACAGAAAAGAUAACCCUCCUGAGCUGAAAGGAAUAAGAUCACUGAUGUAAAUCAGACUGCUGCAUUCAAGUCCCUCUAAGUUACUAAUGAGCCUGGAAGAACAAGGAUACUUAGGAGAAAUCCAGAACAGCAAGACGUAAGUUGUUGGAGCAGAGGGAAGUACUUACUUCAGAUGAUACUAAACUCUUGUACAGUAGUGCCCAGCUUAAGCUUGUAAGAGCAUGAAAGAGAGGGAAGGAAAAAGAAAGAGAUAAAAAAAGAAGUAAGAAAGAGAUUAAAAAAAGAAGUAAGAAAGGAAGGUGUGAACAAAUGAAUGAAUGAACAAAAAACCAAGGAAUUUAUAAAAUGCAGUGUUUCUAACUUGGUAAUGUUUAUUAUUUGAAACAUGAUGUUAUAUUUUGUUGCACUCAUUCUAGAAAUAAGAAUAAUAAAAUCUUGG